rnacentral:rRNA from 1 species
AUUGAACGCUGGCGGCAGGCUUAACACAUGCAAGUCGAGCGGGGUGAUGGUGCUUGCACUAUCACUUAGCGGCGGACGGGUGAGUAAUGCUUAGGAAUCUGCCUAUUAGUGGGGGACAACAUCUCGAAAGGGAUGCUAAUACCGCAUACGUCCUACGGGAGAAAGCAGGGGAUCACUUGUGACCUUGCGCUAAUAGAUGAGCCUAAGUCGGAUUAGCUAGUUGGUGAGGUAAAAGCUCACCAAGGCGACGAUCCUUAGCUGGUCUGAGAGGAUGAUCAGUCACACUGGAACUGAGACACGGUCCAGACUCCUACGGGAGGCAGCAGUGGGGAAUAUUGGACAAUGGGCGAAAGCCUGAUCCAGCCAUGCCGCGUGUGUGAAGAAGGUCUUCGGAUUGUAAAGCACUUUAAGUUGGGAGGAAGGGCUGUAGGCUAAUAUCCUGCAGUUUUGGCGUUACCGACAGAAUAAGCACCGGCUAACUUCGUGCCAGCCGCCGCCGUAA